UCCUGGAACUCAUUUGUUUCUGACUCUUCGAAGACCUCCCAAGUGUAAGGUCUUUUCCUUGUAAGACUACUCCAAACAAAUGCAGUGACCUGAAGACUCCCAGAAUAGGCACCACAAAUUCUCUAAGAGGAAGGCUUAUUUCUCUCAUGCCCAGCCUUCCCUCUGCCCACCUGUCAACAUGUAAACCUCGUGGUGUUUAGCCAAAUUCCGUGCUUUAUAUGUUAGUGUCCUUUAUCACAUGCUAUAUUUCAAGGCAAAUGAGCUAAAACAUGAUAAUAACUAGCAAAAGAUGCCACUCCUUUCAAGAAGGGUACCGUUUAGGCAGAGAAUUAUAGGGGGAUAAAAUGGAACAAAAACCAAUAAGGCAAAUCUUAAGAAUAUGGCCAGAAGACCAUCCUCUUAGAGUUAUUCUGAAAAAUGGAGCUAAACACCAUGUUGUCUGACUCAGAGAAGGAUUAGAUUUCAAGGGGAAAUGGAUUUGGGUCCAUUUCCUUGAGAAGAGUUGCUAUGAGACUGAGAGCCAGCAUUCUCUUCACUGAGUGUUUGAGGGAUAAAUGCACAGAGCAAUUUAGCAGCAUUUCAGAAAUGUAAAGUUCUCAGAAGCCACAUUCCAAGUGAAGCAGAUCUUGCUGAAGAAGUUGGGAUGUGUGAGUCUAAAAAGAACGCUUUGAGCCCUCUGCUUCUCUUAGCUUAAAUCCAUAUAUGGCUUUGUUGCUGUUGCUGUUUUCAUUUUAAACAUAACCAAACAACACUGGUGCCCAGGAAAUGGACUUCCAAAGAGAGGAGGGAAAAGCCCAAAAAAUUCUUUCAGCAUAAAGAAGACCAGUCUUGUUUAAAUCAAAGAAAGGGCGCUGCCAUCCCUUCAACAGCCAAGACCACAGAUCUUGAAAUCUUCUUCAUCUCAGUGCUCCAUGCUAUACCCACACUGGAGUAACGAGGGUUUGCUCAGGCUCUGCUCUCUUCAGAGGCUGAGGUGGAUUCAGCCGUGGCCUCAACUGCUUAUCCUGACCAAACCCAGAGGAUGUAGGAAAAGCCCUUCUCCACUCAGGAGUAUGGAUAUCAUGCAGACCCCUGGAGACACGGUGGUACUCAAUAAGUAUCUAUGAGUUGACUUACACUGAAUCCGAACUAACACAGACUUGAAG